rnacentral:lncRNA from 1 species
UCGAAGACGAGGAGCUUCUUUCGGGAGCGGGAGGGGGGUGGAGGCAGCGGCGCUUCCUAUUGCCGCAGCAGGGGCACGGCUCGGAGAAGCCGACGGUGGCGGAGGAGGACUCGAGCCGCACCUCCGAGAUGUACGCCGUCACCUCGGCAGCUUCCGGCGGGUUCUUGGAAGCCGCUUCCAUCUCUGGUCUCUCUCCCACUUUUGGUAGAUAGGGCGUUCGAUUUCUUGUUCAAAUUGUGGGGAGGGUGGGAACGGAGUCUCUUAUAUGGGGAGGAGACGGCGGUCGAGAUUGUCCGCCUAAGGCAUCGGGCGGCUGAAAUUGCUCUGCAGGUAAAUUAAGAUUUCAAUCAAGAAAACUGUUAACAAAUCAACAACCUGCUCCAACAAGUUUAGGUAGGUCUGAUAGUUCUCUGCCAUUACCAGAAAACGUUUUUGCUUCAGGAAUUUAAAAAAGAAUGCAGCUCUUUAUAGAGUUUAUUAAACACCAGACCAAGUACAAGAACUAAUGAAACACCCCUGGCAAUCAAAUAAUGUAGCCCCUAGUCAAGUUCUAGCGUUGGAAAAAUUGUAACGAUACAUAUAAUUUAAACCACAAGGCUUUUACUAUACAAACAAGACAGAGAGGAAAAGUCUCCAUCAAUUAGGAGAUCAGUCGGUAGCCCACCGCAAAAUCCAAAAGAAUGACACUUCUCCAGCCUCAUGUAUAUGAAAUCCUCAAACUGCACUUGUAUUAACGUCUGUAAGUUCUCCUUGGCCAAUACUACUUUUGCCUGUAUACUCUGCAGGUAUUUUCUCUAGCAUGAACAUCCUCCUGAUUGCUGUUCCGUCUGCGAGGCAGUGACGGUGGGCUUCAAGUUGACGUCAACCAUGUCUUCCUGUUUGGACGAAGGAAGAGUCUCCAUCCCUGGUAAGGCUGCAGCAAUCUUGCGGAAGAGAGGCUGCAAUUGUCCAUUUUUAUUUCAACAUUAGUAACGAGGAAGUGAUGUUGCAAAAGAACAUAGUCAAGCAGAUACGAUUCACCUUGAUGUUGAAUCCUGCUUUCGCACUGGUCUCUAUGAACAUGACCCCAAAUUCACGGGCCUUGGCUUCUCCUUCUUCAAUAGAAACUUGCCUGUUAUCA